rnacentral:rRNA from 1 species
UGCCCGGUAGCUAAAUGCGGAAGAGAUAAGUGCUGAAAGCAUCUAAGCACGAAACUUGCCCCGAGAUGAGUUCUCCCUGACCCUUUAAGGGUCCUGAAGGAACGUUGAAGACGACGACGUUGAUAGGCCGGGUGUGUAAGCGCAGCGAUGCGUUGAGCUAACCGGUACUAAUGAACCGUGAGGCUUAACCUUACAACGCCGAAGGUGUUU